rnacentral:tRNA from 1 species
GCCUUAGUGGUGUAAUGGUCAGCACACUCGGCGCGUAACCGAGAGGUCCGUGGUUCGAGUCCCGGCGAGGGCA